AGUGAACGCUGGCGGUAGGCCUAACACAUGCAAGUCGAACGGCAGCACAGUAAGAGCUUGCUCUUACGGGUGGCGAGUGGCGGACGGGUGAGGAAUACAUCGGAAUCUACUUUUUCGUGGGGGAUAACGUAGGGAAACUUACGCUAAUACCGCAUACGACCUACGGGUGAAAGCAGGGGAUCUUCGGACCUUGCGCGAUUGAAUGAGCCGAUGUCGGAUUAGCUAGUUGGCGGGGUAAAGGCCCACCAAGGCGACGAUCCGUAGCUGGUCUGAGAGGAUGAUCAGCCACACUGGAACUGAGACACGGUCCAGACUCCUACGGGAGGCAGAAGUGGGGAAUAUUGGACAAUGGGCGCAAGCCUGAUCCAGCCAUACCGCGUGGGUGAAGAAGGCCUUCGGGUUGUAAAGCCCUUUUGUUGGGAAAGAAAAGCAGCAGGUUAAUACCCCGCUGUCCUGACGGUACCCAAAGAAUAAGCACCGGCUGACUUCGUG
rnacentral:rRNA from 1 species